GUGCCGGGAAAGUUUGCUUGCAGCGGACUCUUAAUCCGCUUGUCGUAGGUUCGACCCCUGCAGGGCGCACAA
rnacentral:tRNA from 1 species